rnacentral:rRNA from 1 species
AACGAACGCUGGCGGCAGGCUUAACACAUGCAAGUCGAACGGGUGUAGCAAUACACCAGUGGCAGACGGGUGAGUAACACGUGGGAACCUUCCUCGUAGUACGGAACAACUCAGGGAAACUUGUGCUAAUACCCGUAUACGUCCGAGAGGAGAAAGAUUUAUCGCUAUGAGACGGGCCCGCGUCGGAUUAGGUAGUUGGUGGG